rnacentral:tRNA from 1 species
CAUUAGAUGACUGAAAGUAAGUAAUGGUCUCUUAAACCAUUUAAUAGUAAAAUAACAUUUACUUCUAAUGA